GAUGAACGCUGGCGGCGUGCCUAAUACAUGCAAGUCGAGCGACCGAAGAAGGAGCUUCCUCCUCGGACGUUGCCGGCGAAGGGGGGGUAACACGGGGGAUACCCUACCUAAAAAACGGGGAUAACUUGGGAAACCGGAACCAAAACCCGAAAAUAAAAUUGAACGCAAUGGUUAAUUAGUAAAAUACGGUUUUGCUGUACCUUAUAAUUGGUUCCGCGCCGCAUUAGCUAGUUGGUAAGGUAACGGCUUACCAAGGCAACGAUGCGUAGCCGACCUGAGAGGGUGAUCGGCCACACUGGAACUGAGACACGGUCCAGACUCCUACGGGAGGCAGCAGUAGGGAAUCUUCCGCAAUGGGCGAAAGCCUGACGGAGCAACGCCGCGUGAGUGAUGAAGGUCUUCGGAUCGUAAAACUCUGUUAUUAGGGAAGAACAAAUGUGUAAGUAACUAUGCACGUCUUGACGGUACCUAAUCAGAAAGCCACGGCUAACUACGUG
rnacentral:rRNA from 1 species